rnacentral:lncRNA from 1 species
ACUUCAUGGAAAGGUAAGCUAGUGAAAGGUCAUAGUUGGGUGGAGCUAAUUUCUUUUUUCCUGCCAGAAAAAAAUGAAUGUCUGUUGCUUUUCUCUGAAAAUACAAGGGAAAAAAAAAAAAAAAGAAAAAAAGAGAAAAAGAGAUUAUCCCACAAUGACUUGCAUGUUGAUCACUUUGCACUACUUCAGGUUCCACUGUCUGGAACACAUUGGCUUUACCAGGAAAGUGAAGACAGCAAGCUGCUGGUAAACUACUGCUGGUUUCCAGAUAUGCUGAAGCCAAGCCCUCCUGCUUCCCUAGACCCCUUUUUCAGAGCCUGGGAACACCACCAGGAAGCAGCCACCACUGUCCAGGAGCCUCCACCAGCACCCAGCCCCAGACCUGCAGGAAGACAACCUCUACAGAGUCCCAAGUGAUGGCAGGCCUCCACAGGCCUGCUCCAUAGUCCCACUGCUGCCUGCACUGUUCACAGGCUCGGGCUGAUCCUUGCUGCAAGAGAAGAGAAUAACAGGAAACAAAAAGCAAGUAUCAAUCUUGUUUUUAAGGAGCCUUUGUGUGGUUUCCUACUCCCAGUAGAGACAGGGUUGGACUAAAGGGCACUGCUGCAUCUCAGUCACCUUCACCACUAGGAGUAGGAGUGGCUGAAAGCACCCACAAACCCACUCAUCCUCCCUCCAAAGGGAGGCAGGCAGGUAGGACCACUGCUGCAGAAGCAGCGUGUAGACUUCAAUAAAAGCAAAGGGAGCCCAGCA